rnacentral:snRNA from 1 species
GGUGCCCAACUGCGCGCUAAC